GUGCUUUACAUUCACAAAACCACCAGUUACUUCGCUUCGGUAACUUUGGAGGGACACAAAAAGUCAUAUAAUUUUCGUGUUAUUCAUGUUAACAAUUUCAAUAAAUAUUUCCACCGCCACCGUCCGAGACUAGACCAUAAACAUAAUUACCUUUCCGCCACCAAUAAAGCUUUUCGACAAAGCUUUUCCUCGUUAUUAAUAAUUGGGAACAAAUCACGCACUGACGUCGGAUUCGAAAUUAGGAUUGAUUCCGUGUUAUGGGUACCGGAGAAUGAUAAACAUAUUUAUAUACGUUUAAAUAUGUUGUUGUUGUUGAAUGUUUGCCCGAUGUGGGAAUCGAACCCGUGACCCUGGGCCGCUAAGUAGUGCACCAUCGGGUCGGUCACUUAAUGAUUAUAUCGAGGGGCCAAAGGCUAUGCGGUUUAAGCGACAUUCCGCUUAUCACGCGACAUUUAUCUUUGUAAUUUAAGGUCCGUCUUAUUUAGUAUCAGCAUCCCCCCAUUUACCCCAUUCAAAUGCUGAAAUUUUUUUUGUCAUAUUUUUUUCCUAAUUUUAAACUUUAAAUGGCUCUCCUGUAGUUGCAAAAAUGUCUCUUAAACCAAAUAGCCUUACACCCCUCGCUAUGAUUUUUGCGUCCCAUGUAGCCAAAUGAAUGAGACACGAUGAUAAAUGAAUCACUCAAACAAAAUGAAACCUUAAACUGAUCACCGUAAGUACGUAUUCAUCUUCAACAGAAAACCAGGAAUUAAAACUAAAAUAACGUAUAGACAUUUUAUUGAUACAACAAUAUAUUCACAACUAUCAGUGCAGUCACAUUACAAUAAAGUUUUUUUUUUAAUACAAAAUGGGAAGAUAUAAGGAUUUCCGUUUGAACUUAGGGUUUAAUCUCAUUUACUGUUAUAAAAAUACAUAUACCGAUUGAAAUCAACAGACGAACAAAUAGCGAGAAGACAGAGAGAGAGAGAAUUAAUAUUACUUUUGGCUGAAUGCAAUAAUCACUCAGUGCCAUAUUUUAGUUUUUAAAUAUACAUCAUUUUACAAAUGACAGCUAUCUACUGUCAAACAUGUCAUUAUUGAAUUCAACUGGCGAUAUUGAAUAUUCAUUAAAAUCUAUUUUAUGUAACAAAAAAAGCAAUCGGUUAUUUUGAUAUUAAAUAUGAAAUAAAACAUUAAACAGUCAUGUUACCAACUGUGCAUAGAGAUCUCGUGAGAAAAUUCUAGAAGACAGUUGUAACUAGAUUCAAUUCGAGAGUAUAAGAACAAAGUAUAUAGUCAAUAUAGGUAAUUAAAAAUAAAAGAAGAGAAAAAUGUAGAAAAAAAUAAAAGAAUAUUCGAGUAUGUA